UACGUAGGGGGCAAGCGUUGUCCGGAUUUAUUGGGCGUAAAGAGCGUGUAGGCGGCUUGGUAGGUCCGCUGUGAAAACUCGAGGCUCAACCUCGAGAUGUCGGCGGAAACCACUUGGCUAGAGUCCGGAAGAGGAGAGUGGAAUUCCCGGUGUAGCGGUGAAAUGCGCAGAUAUCGGGAAGAACACCCGUGGCGAAGGCGAUCUCGGAGCGGUACUGACGCUGAGAGCGAAAGCGUGGGGAGCGAACAGG
rnacentral:rRNA from 1 species